CCACCCACCACAUCCCAUCGACCCCACACUGUGCCCCAUUGACCCCACCCUUAACCCCAUAUCCCCCCCUGCCCCCAUAACCCCAACUGUCCCCCCCUUCCUCCCCCAUCCGGCCCCACAGACCCCAUUGCUGCCCCCCCUUUGGUUCUCACUCACCUGAGCACCCCCUAUAGGUGGGGGUCCGACCCCAUAAGCGCCCCCCGGGAUCCCAUAGGACACAGUGGGGGCCGGGGGGGGGCCGGGCCAGGAGAGAGCGGCAGAUGGGGACGGGAUGGGGGCGCCUGUGGGGAGAGGGGGUGGGGGAUAUGGGAUAUAGGAUAGGGGAUAUAGGAUAUGGGAUAUGGGGUGUGGGAUAUGGGAUGUGGGAUAUGGGAUGUGGGGGUGGGAUGUGGGAGGUGGGAUAUGGGGGUGUGGGGUUGGGGUGGGGGAUAUGGGGUGUGGGGUGGGGGAUAUGGGGUGUGGGAUAUGGGAGGUGGGAUACAGGAUAUAGGAUAUGGGAUAUAGGAUAUGGGGGUGGGAUGUGGGAGGAGGGGUAUAGGAUAUGGGAUGUGGGAUAUGGGGGGUGGGGUUGGGGUGGGGGAUAUGGGGUGUGGGAUAUGGGGUGUGGGGUUGGGGUGGGGGAUAUGGGGUGUGGGGUGGGGGAUAUGGGAUAUAGGAUAUGGGAUAUGGGGGGGGGACGUGGGAUGUAGCAUGUAGGAUAUAGGAUAUGAGGGUGGGAGGUGGGAUAUGGGAUAUAGGAUAUGGGAUGUGGGAUAUGGGGGGUGGGGUUGGGGUGGGGGAUAUGGGGGUGGGAUAUGGGAUAUGGAGUGUGGGAUAUGGGGUCUAUAGAAUGUAAGAGCUAUAGGAUAUAGGAUCCAUAGGAUAUAGGUCCAUAAGAUAUAGGGGCUAUAGGAUAUAGGGUCCAUAGGAUAUAGGGCUAUAGGAUAUAGGGGCUAUGGGGGCUAUAGGGACCAUAGGGUCUCUAGAGGAUAUAGGGGCUAUAGGACAUGGGCUAUAGGAUAUAGGGUCCAUAGGAUAUAGGGGCUAUAGGAUAUAGGAGCUAUAGGGUCUAUAGGAAAUAGGGUCUGUAGAAAAUAAGGUCUAUAGGAUAUAGGGGCCAUAGGAUAUAGGGUCUAUAGGGUCCAUAGAAUAUAGGGUCUAUAGCAUAUAGGGUCCAUAGGAUAUAGGGGCUAUAGGGUCUAUAGGAAAUAGGGUCUGUAGGAAAUAAGGUCUAUAGGAUAUAGGGGCUAUAGAAUAUAGGAUCUAUAGGAUAUAGGGGCUAUAGGAUAUAGGGGUAUAGGAUAUAGGGGCCAUCGGAUAUAAGGGCUAUAGGGUCGAUAGGAAAUCGGGUCUAUAGGAUGUAUAGGGGCUAUAGGAUAUAGGCUGUAUAGGAUAUAGGGGCUAUAGGAUAUAGGGGCUACAGGAUAUAGGGGUAUAGGAUAUAGGGUCCAUAGGAUAUAGGGUCUAUAGGAUCCAUAGAAUAUAGGGUCUAUAGCAUAUAGGGUCCAUAGGAUAUAGGGGCUAUAGGGUCUAUAGGAAAUAGGGUCUGUAGGAAAUAAGGUCUAUAGGAUAAAGGGGCUAUAGGAUAUAGGGUCCAUAGGAUAUAGGGGCUAUAGGAUAUAGGGGCUAUAGGACACGGGCUAUAAGAUAUAGGGUCUAUAAGAUAUAGGCUGUAUAGGAUAUAGGGGCUAUAGGAUAUAGGAUCUAUAGGAUAUAGGGGUAUAGGAUAUAGGGUCCAUAGGAUAUAGGGGCUAUAGGAUAUAGGGGCUAUAGGACACGGGCUAUAAGAUAUAGGGUCUAUAAGAUAUAGGCUGUAUAGGAUAUAGGGGCUAUAGGAUAUAGGAUCUAUAGGAUAUAGGGCUAUAGGAUAUAGGGUCCAUAGGAUAUAGGGUCCAUAGGAUAUAGGGGCUAUAGGGUGUUUGGGGUCUAUAGGGCGCAUGGGGUCUCUGGGUGUGCCCACUCACCGCCGCUGUCCCCGUGGCUCCGCCCCCGCGCCCCCCGCCCGCCCCGCAUCCCCUCCAGGAGUUCCUUCACCGUGCGGGGGGGGGGCGGCGGCGCGCGCCCACCUGCGUGGGGAUGGGGGGGGGGGGGGGGGGGGGGAGGGGGGACACGCGUGGGUGGGGGAACCCUCCGCUGUGACGUCACGGGGUUCCCCCCGCCUCCGCGCUGUGACGUCACGGGGAUGCCCUGCGGGGAUUUCCCCCCUCCCUCCUCCCACGGCCGCACGUGGGGAAACCCCCGCGGGGGGACCUUAAAGGGACAGAGCCCUCCUUAAAGUCUCUCUUAAAGGGCCAGCGGCCCAUUCCAGCCCCCUCCCUUAAAGGGCCAGCGCCCCAUUCCCAUCUCUCUUCAAGGGCCGGCGUCCCUUUCCCACCUCUCUUAAAGGGCCAGCACCCCCUCCCAGUUCCCUUAAAGGGCCAGCUCCGAGUUGCCAAGUCUCUUAAAGGACCAGCGUCCCAUUUCCAGCUCCAUCUCUCUUAAAGGGCCAACACCCCGCUCAAGCCGCUCUUAAAGAGCCGGCCGCCCAUUCCCAACUCUCUUAAAGGGCCAGCGACCUCCUCCCUCCGCCCUUAAAGGGCCAGUACCCCCCCCCAGCUCUCUUAAAGGGCCCGCAUUCCCCUUCCUGCUCUCUUAAAGGGCCACAGUCCCACUCCCCGCUCUCUUAAAGGGCCCGCGUACCUCUGUGGGGCCGCAUGUCUCCGUCGCGAGUUGCAAAUGGGGCCGGUGUGGCCCCGGGGGCCGUUAUAGCGGGGGGGAGGUGACACCGCAGUGACGGCGACAUUGGGGGGGGCGGGGUUAGGGGGUGCGGGGACAGCCGGGUUCCCCCGGGUGACGUCACGGGUGGGCCGCCCCCGCGUGAUGUCAGCGGAGCCUUUUGCAGAAGCGUGUCCCCCCUCCACGUGCCACCGCGGGCCGCGGGCCCUUUAAGGGCUUUCCCACGUCCCCCCCACCAGAGGGGCGCGGGCCCUUUAAGGGGGGGGUGGGGAGGGGAGGGGAUCCCAGUGUGCAAUGGGGGGGAAUUGGGGGUCCUGGGGGGAUUCUGGGGGGCCGUGGAGGCACUCAGGGAUCUUUGGGGACAUCGGGGGUUCCCCCUCCUGACCCCCAUUUCCCCCCCGAGACCCCCAUUCCCCCCCCCCGAGACCCCUCUUUCCCCCCCCCGAGACCCCCAAUUCCCCCC
rnacentral:lncRNA from 1 species